GCGCCCGUAGCUCAAUUGGAUAGAGCGUCAGCCUCCGGAGCUGAAGGUUGUGAGUUCGAGCCUCGCCGGGCGCACAA
rnacentral:tRNA from 1 species